rnacentral:rRNA from 1 species
CACCGCGGUUAUACGAGAGACCCAAAUUGAUAAAAAACGGCGUAAAGCGUGGUUAAGAAGAUAAAAAUAUACGGUCAAACAGCCUCAAAGCAGUUAUACGCACUCGAGGUCACGAAGAACAAUUACGAAAGUAUCCCUAAAACCUCUGACUCCACGAAAACCACAAAA